GGUGUGGUUUACGCAUUCGUGGCAAAUAUGAAUAUUUCUGCUCGAUGCUUCCAAGUUUAGAGAGUACACAAUUGUAGAAGUUACUGCAACAAAACGUCGCUUUUAUGAAACGUUUUGGAAAUAAAAUCGGUAUGCCAUGCAGAGGGAAAGGUCAGUAUUAAAUUUAGCUAUUUUUUAAACGUUUUUGAGUUGUUCUUGUUAAGUUAUUGCUGUUUUUUAAACACGUGUGUAUAUAUAUUAUAUUAUUCACUGUAUUAGUAUGUAUUGAAUUCGAUUCCAUUCAAGCGCUUCGUUUCGGCGCUUAGUCGCUCUAUUCCUUGGUGUUUCUCCCUCGUUUUCUAGCAGUAAUGUUCAGAAAUACCCCAGCUUUGAUUUAUUUAACUCCUAUUUAGUUUAUCUGCGAUUUCAGGGCGAAAAUUUGAAGAGAAAGUGAACUAUUUGAGUCGCCGACAUGGUCGAAAGGGCAAAGUACUUG